UACAGAGGUCUCAAGCGUUGUUCGGAUUCAUUGGGCGUAAAGGGUGCGUAGGCGGCGCGGUAAGUCGGGUGUGAAAUCUUGGAGCUUAACUCCGAAACUGCAUUCGAUACUGCCGUGCUUGAGGACUGGAGAGGAGACUGGAAUUUACGGUGUAGCAGUGAAAUGCGUAGAUAUCGUAAGGAAGACCAGUGGCGAAGGCGGCUUGCUGGGCCUUACCUGACGCUGAGGAGCGAAAGCGUGGGGAGCGAACAGG
rnacentral:rRNA from 1 species